UCAGUAAAGAAGAAGAUUUAACGUGAAGUCUCACAUGAAUAAAGACCACUUUGAUGAUACAAACUUCAAUGUUCAAGGCUCCAUAUCGGUUCUGGUGGACUAAGCAUAUAUGAUGGAUCUUGAUAGCCUUAGGUUCAUUGUAAAGAAAUUAUGUUAUGCAGCACAUUCUCGAGCUGCGGAUUCCUUCGGUCGUGUCCACGCUGACCUCUCAAUUUAAGGGUAACAUGUGCAGCUAACAAUUCAAAAAUUCAGCAGCCAUGUGGUAGAGAAAUAUUUAGCUGU
rnacentral:lncRNA from 1 species